AUGGUGCGAGUCCGCUCGCCGGAUCUCGCCCAAAAUCCGUCACAGGGUUCGAUCCCCUUUCAGGCCGAAGCAACGGCGCCGUCGAAGCCCUCCGUUGCGACGCGGCAAGUCCUGGAGGCCAUGGAGGAAGGGAACGCCAACAUCGCAAAGAUGCUCGACUCCCUCCUCACCAAGCUCGACGAGCAGACCGCCCUCCGCGACAAGCAACUGGAGGCGCAACUCUCCUUCAACAACCAGAUCGCGCAGGAGCUGCGGGGUCUUGCGCGGCAGCUCGAUCUGACGCAGGCCGACGUUGAUGCGACCCGCAAGACCGUCGACUGCUCGGCCUCACAUGCGGGAUCCGUCACCACGUUGGUACCACCACCGCCGCCGCCGCCGCCGCCGCCUCCGUCUCCGCGUCACCAGCCCCACCACGCGGAACCCCAUCGCCCCGCUUCUGCUCACGCUCGCUUGGGGGACAAUCGACCACCACUCAUCCCGGUUCCCCCUCUUGGUGCGCCCAUGGCUGGGGUCACCGCGCCGCCGCCCAGCCCCAACUACACAGAGAACUCCUACCACAAACCACCGAAACACGAUUUUCCCCGUUUCGAUGGAUCCGCACCCUACCUCUGGUUGGAUCGGUGUUUAGCGUACUUUGAGCUCUACAAGGUGGGUCAACAUGUUUGGGUGCCCACCGCUGCUCUGUACAUUGAGGGCCAGGCAGCACACUGGCUCCAGGCGUUUCGCCAGAGCCACCGCAACUUGUCAUGGGACAUGUUCGCCGCCGCCGUGCUUGAAGAAUUCGGUGCAUACGAGUUCGAGCUCACCAUGCACUGUCUCCUUCAACUACAGCAGACGGGCAGCGUCGCCGAGUAUCGCACAUUGUUUGAUGAGCUCAUGUAUCAUCUUCUGGCGCUGGAUCCCUCCAUCAACAACAAAUUCUUCAUCACCCAGUUCUGUUUGGGCUUGAAGGACGAGCUACGCGCAGCAAUUUGCUUACAAGCCCGUCGAGCAUCACCCGCGCGUCUGUGCUUGCGCGCAUUCAAGAGGAAGAGCUGGGCACGACACGCCCACGGGUCCGACCGGUUCCUCCAGGGCGCCCGCCUCCACCAACGAACGCGGCGCCGCCGCGGCAAGCGGCUGUUCCACGCGCCACCGGUGACGAAUUCGCACGGGAGCGACAGCUGCGAGAUUAUCGGCGCGCCAACAAUCUUUGCUUCAAGUGUGGGGACAAAUACUCCCGGGAGCACCGCUGCGCGCAGCCGGCACAAUUGCUCACCAUCCAUGUGGGGGAGCAUGGCGAGGUUCUCUCCGACAACGCGAUCCAUGCUCUCCAACUCUUGGACGAUCCCGAACCACCAGCGCGGCUGGCGGAGUGCUACGUGCUGUCAGCUCAGGUGCUGGACGGCUCCGAUUCGCCAAGUACCAUUUGGCUGCGUGCUCUGGUGA
rnacentral:rRNA from 1 species